GGUAGCGCUCGACGGCGCUGGGGUGGCAGCGUCGCGGCGACGGUGGCGCAGCGACGCACGAAGCUCUGCGGAUGCGGGAAGAAGGCAUCGAGGGGGGACUUGAAGACCAAACUGGACUAAGACGAAAUGGUACUGCUAUUCAUGCUCUGAGAUAGGAGCUACAACUGAAGAAUGCCCAAAUGGAUGUAAUUAGGGAAAGAAAUUGAGAGUGCACAACAGAUGUGAGAUUGGUAUCCAGGUUUAGUGGCAAGAUUCAUGUCAACGAAGCUCUAGCAAUGUAAUGUUAGUUUGUUAUCCAGGUUUAGUUCUGGCAAUGUAAUAUGUGGAAUCUGCAACUGAAUAAAGCCAGCAUUUUAUAUGAA